rnacentral:misc_RNA from 1 species
CAACCCUCAAGCCCUACCUUGUGAACGGCUUGGUGUUGGGGAUCGGCAGCUUUGCCGUCCCCUAAAAGUAUUGGCGGCCCUCCGAGGCGACCUCUGCGUAGUAACUUACCUCGCACUGGGAAGCUUGGAGCGGCCACGCCGUAAAACCCCCGACUUUUAUAA